CCCCACCCCACCCCCGUAAUGAUCCAGUCUGUGAGGCUCUUGGGGAACAUCUAGAUAUAAAUGGCAGCAGCUCUACAGUCAGGAACAAGCAUCUUUACGUAGGCCCAACGUUUGCGUAUUUAUUUUUCCACCAGAAGAAAGUUACUCAGACUAUUAUCUACUAAGCUGAAAAGGACUCUGACUUCUUUUCCAGAAGCCCGCUUAAGUGGAUCACCAAAUCUCUCUC
rnacentral:lncRNA from 1 species